rnacentral:rRNA from 1 species
CAUCGCCUCUUGACCUUAUAAGAGGUCCAGCCUGCCCGGUGACUCUGUUCAACGGCUGCGGUAUUCUAACCGUACAAAGGUAGCGUAAUCACUUGUUUUCUAAAUAAAGACCUGUAUGAAAGGCACCACGAGAGCUAAACUGUCUCCUUUUUCCAAUCAGUAAACCUAAUCUCCCUGUGAAAAAGCAGGAAUUAAAAUAUAAGACGAGAAGACCCUGUGGAGCUUAAAACAUUCUUCACUUGCCAUUUUAUCACAUUACCCCUGGUUCAUCACUAAACGGCACUCUGAUCCAAUGUUUUUGGUUGGGGUGACCACGGAGAAAAACCUAUCCUCCGUAAUGAAAGGAACUCCUUAAGCUUUAAAAUACAAUUUUAAGCAUCAAAAAAUUGACAUCCACUGACCCAAUAAAUUGAUCAAUGAACCAAGUUACCCUAGGGAUAACAGCACAAUCCGCUUUAAGAGCCCCUAUCGACAAGCGGGCUUAUGACCUCGAUGUUGGAUCGGGGUAUCCUAGUGGUGCAACCGCUACUAAAGGUUCGUUUGUUCAACGAUUAAAACCCC